rnacentral:rRNA from 1 species
UGGCCAACGGGUGAGUAACACGUGGGGAAUCUGCCUAUAAGUGGGGGAUAACAUUCGGAAACGGAUGCUAAUACCGCAUAUAUUCAAAAACCGCAUGGUUUCUGAAAGAAAGACGGCUUUGCUGUCGCUUAUAGAUGAUCCCGCGGCGUAUUAGUUAGUUGGUGGGGUAAUGGCCUACCAAGACCAUGAUACGUAGCCGACCUGAGAGGGUGAUCGGCCACACUGGGACUGAGACACGGCCCAGACUCCUACGGGAGGCAGCAGUAGGGAAUCUUCCACAAUGGGUGCAAACCUGAUGGAGCAAUGCCGCGUGAAUGAAGAAGGUCUUCGGAUCGUAAAGUUCUGUUAUUAGAGAAGAACAAGUCAAGGAGUAACUGUCUUGACUUUGACGGUACCUAACCAGAAAGUCACGGCUAACUACGUGCCAGCAGCCGCGGUAAUACGUAGGUGACAAGCGUUGUCCGGAAUUAUUGGGCGUA